UAAUUGAAGAGUUUGAUCAUGGCUCAGAUUGAACGCUGGCGGCAGGCCUAACACAUGCAAGUCGAGCGGUAACAGGGGAAGCUUGCUUCUCGCUGACGAGCGGCGGACGGGUGAGUAAUGUAUGGGGAUCUGCCCGAUAGAGGGGGAUAACCACUGGAAACGGUGGCUAAUACCGCAUAAUCUCUUAGGAGCAAAGCAGGGGA
rnacentral:rRNA from 1 species